GGGCCUAUGGCGCAAUUGGUAGCGCGUAGUAAGUUAUACCAUUCCAAAUCGUAAGGUUGUCCGAUCGAGCCGGGCUGGGCUCA
rnacentral:tRNA from 2 species